rnacentral:rRNA from 1 species
CUAUCUGCAGUCGAGCGAAUCUUGAGGAGCUUGCUCCUUAAGGUUAGCGGCGGACGGGUGAGUAACACGUGGGCAACCUGCCUGUAAGACUGGGAUAACACCGGGAAACCGGUGCUAAUACCGGAUAAUUCUUUACCUCUCAUGAGGUGAAGCUGAAAGUCGGUUUCGGCUGACACUUACAGAUGGGCCCGCGGCGCAUUAGCUAGUUGGUGAGGUAACGGCUCACCAAGGCGACGAUGCGUAGCCGACCUGAGAGGGUGAUCGGCCACACUGGGACUGAGACACGGCCCAGACUCCUACGGGAGGCAGCAGUAGGGAAUCUUCCGCAAUGGACGAAAGUCUGACGGAGCAACGCCGCGUGAGUGAUGAAGGCCUUCGGGUCGUAAAACUCUGUUGUUAGGGAAGAACAAGUACCGGAGUAACUGCCGGUACCUUGACGGUACCUAACCAGAAAGCCACGGCUAACUACGUGCCAGCAGCCGCGGUAAUACGUAGGUGGCAAGCGUUGUCCGGAAUUAUUGGGCGUAAAGCGCGCGCAGGCGGUCCUUUAAGUCUGAUGUGAAAGCCCACGGCUCAACCGUGGAGGGUCAUUGGAAACUGGGGGACUUGAGUGCAGAAGAGGAAAGCGGAAUUCCACGUGUAGCGGUGAAAUGCGUAGAGAUGUGGAGGAACACCAGUGGCGAAGGCGGCUUUCUGGUCUGUAACUGACGCUGAGGCGCGAAAGCGUGGGGAGCAAACAGGAUUAGAUACCCUGGUAGUCCACGCCGUAAACGAUGAGUGCUAAGUGUUAGAGGGUUUCCGCCCUUUAGUGCUGCAGCUAACGCAUAAGCACUUCGCUGGGGAGUACGGCCCAG